rnacentral:lncRNA from 1 species
UAUACUUCACCUAUGUUUCAAAGUUUUUCAUAAGUUUUCAAAAUAAAACUCAGAGUUCCCAGCAAUGAUUCUCUCAAGUCUCUCUAUAUGUGGUAUUUGUGGAUCCUUACCAAAAUGCCACUUACCUAUAGCUAAUGGAAUAUUUAAGUGGAGCUCAUAGGAGUGAAAAAAAAACAGCUCAUACAUAUGUUGUCUAAUCGAGCCAUGGAUCCAAAGGAACUCAGCAGAUAAUUAAAUCAAGAUGUGCAUGUGUGAUGGAGUAAAUGAUAGUGAUGGUAAAAAUGCAUAAGUGAUAAUAAAACUUAGUUCUCAUUGCUCCUCAUAUUGUUAUCUCUCCACUUCUCUGAUCUUUGCUUUGGGAGAACAUGGGCUAUCUUUUUCUUUUCUUUUUUUCAGGUGGGUAGUAGAUACCCCUAAUUCUACUAUCGGACACUUGUCCAUUUUUUCCGCUCAAGUGGGCAUCUUUGUACCCCUAAUUCUACUCCGAACACUUGUCCAUUUUUACCUCUCGUCUCACUCUUUUUCUUUCUUUUUCGAGGUUCCGGGCACUUGCCCCUUUUUAUUUCCUCGCAUAUUUUUGCAUAACCCAUGCCUCUUCUGCAUUGAAUCUUUUUAGAGAGAGAAAAUAACAAUACUUGGUACAGUGAGUGAUAAUAUAUUAUUAUUUUUUUAGCAAUUUUAAUGAUUGGUGAUGAAUGCUAUGGUAGAUGUGUGCAAGUGAAUAUCUUAAUUUAACCACAUGAAAAGCUCCUAAGGGUCUACACAGCUCGAUCAAACUCAAUGUAAAUAUAGUAAAAGAUGUUAUAGCAAGUGUGGCUGUGGUAGGUAGUUGUAAUGCUAGGAACUCAUCAUGUGAUUUGUAAGUUUUCAAAAUAAAUCUCCAGAACUUAGUGUAGUAGGAACAAGAUAAACAGCAGCUCAACUUUAUAUCAUGCCUUCCUCUUACCUAGACAUUUAGUUUUAUGCUUCCCAAAGAUAGUAAGUUUUAGUAAUUCCUGGAAGAACUCUAAUAUAAAAACUAGGUACUCGAAAGUAAGCAAACAGAGCAACUGCUCAUCAUUUCCAUU